rnacentral:lncRNA from 1 species
CGGGCGCAGAGGUCGAACCUUGAACAGUAGGGGCUAGUAUGGACCCAACAUUCAAGCUGGAUACAGCUCUGAAUUUGAAUUGUGAUUAAAUAGUUGACACAGCUUAGGUUUCUGACACAGAAUGAAUGUGGUCUUAUGAACUUAAAAUAUUUGUUUUGCUCUUUAGCAAUUCACUAUGCUGUUGAAUAUUAAUCCUCUCAAAAAAAAAAAUAUUUGGAGAAAUUUUCUUUUUAAUUUC